GACCCGUAAUCCGGGUUGCGGACAGUGUCUGGUGGGUAGUUUGACUGGGGCGGUCUCCUCCUAAAGAGUAACGGAGGAGCACGAAGGUUGGCUAAUCCUGGUCGGACAUCAGGAGGUUAGUGCAAUGGCAUAAGCCAGCUUGACUGCGAGCGUGACGGCGCGAGCAGGUGCGAAAGCAGGUCAUAGUGAUCCGGUGGUUCUGAAUGGAAGGGCCAUCGCUCAACGGAUAAAAGGUACUCCGGGGAUAACAGGCUGAUACCGCCCAAGAGUUCAUAUCGACGGCGGUGUUUGGCACCUCGAUGUCGGCUCAUCACAUCCUGGGGCUGAAGUAGGUCCCAAGGGUAUGGCUGUUCGCCAUUUAAAGUGGUACGCGAGCUGGGUUUAGAACGUCGUGAGACAGUUCGGUCCCUAUCUGCCGUGGGCGCUGGAGAACUGAGGGGGGCUGCUCCUAGUACGAGAGGACCGGAGUGGACGCAUCACUGGUGUUCGGGUUGUCAUGCCAAUGGCACUGCCCGGUAGCUAAAUGCGGAAGAGAUAAGUGCUGAAAGCAUCUAAGCACGAAACUUGCCCCGAGAUGAGUUCUCCCUGAGACUUAGAGUCUCCUGAAGGAACGUUGAAGACGACGACGUUGAUAGGCCGGGUGUGUAAGCGCAGCGAUGCGUUGAGCUAACCGGUACUAAUGAACCGUGAGGCUUAACCUUACAACGCCGAAG
rnacentral:rRNA from 1 species